AAUGGAAUUUUCCUCUUUAGA
rnacentral:tRNA from 1 species